rnacentral:rRNA from 1 species
AGAACCUGAAACCGUGUACGUACAAGCAGUGGGAGCACAGGUUUACCUGUGUGACUGCGUACCUUUUGUAUAAUGGGUCAGCGACUUAUAUUCUGUAGCAAGGUUAACCGUAUAGGGGAGCCGGAGGGAAACCGAGUCUUAAUUGGGCGUUAAGUUGCAGGGUAUAGACCCGAAACCCGGUGAUCUAGCCAUGGGCAGGUUGAAGGUUGGGUAACACUAACUGGAGGACCGAACCGACUAAUGUUGAAAAAUUAGCGGAUGACCUGUGGCUGGGGGUGAAAGGCCAAUCAAACCGGGAGAUAGCUGGUUCUCCCCGAAAGCUAUUUAGGUAGCGCCUCGUGAAUUCAUCUCCGGGGGUAGAGCACUGUUUCGGCUAGGGGGCCAUCCCGGCUUACCAACCCGAUGCAAACUGCGAAUACCGGAGAAUGUUAUCACGGGAGACACACGGCGGGUGCUAACGUCCGUCGUGAAGAGGGAAACAACCCAGACCGCCAGCUAAGGUCCCAAAGUCAUGGUUAAGUGGGAAACGAUGUGGGAAGGCCCAGACAGCCAGGAUGUUGGCUUAGAAGCAGCCAUCAUUUAAAGAAAGCGUAAUAGCUCACUGGUCGAGUCGGCCUGCGCGGAAGAUGUAACGGGGCUAAACCAUGCACCGAAGCUGCGGCAGCGACACUAUGUGUUGUUGGGUAGGGGAGCGUUCUGUAAGCCUGUGAAGGUGUCUCGUGAGGGAUGCUGGAGGUAUCAGAAGUGCGAAUGCUGACAUAAGUAACGAUAAAGCGGGUGAAAAGCCCGCUCGCCGGAAGACCAAGGGUUCCUGUCCAACGUUAAUCGGGGCAGGGUGAGUCGACCCCUAAGGCGAGGCCGAAAGGCGUAGUCGAUGGGAAACGGGUUAAUAUUCCCGUACUUGGUGUUACUGCGAAGGGGGGACGGAGAAGGCUAUGUUGGCCGGGCGACGGUUGUCCCGGUUUAAGCGUGUAGGUGUGUGUUCCAGGUAAAUCCGGUUCACUUUAACACUGAGGCGUGACGACGAGGCACUACGGUGCUGAAGCAACAAAUGCCCUGCUUCCAGGAAAAGCCUCUAAGCAUCAGGUAACAUCGAAUCGUACCCCAAACCGACACAGGUGGUCAGGUAGAGAAUACCAAGGCGCUUGAGAGAACUCGGGUGAAGGAACUAGGCAAAAUGGUGCCGUAACUUCGGGAGAAGGCACGCUGACACGUAGGUGAAGUGAUUUACUCACGGAGCUGAAGUCAGUCGAAGAUACCAGCUGGCUGCAACUGUUUAUUAAAAACACAGCACUGUGCAAACACGAAAGUGGACGUAUACGGUGUGACGCCUGCCCGGUGCCGGAAGGUUAAUUGAUGGGGUCAGCGCAAGCGAAGCUCCUGAUCGAAGCCCCGGUAAACGGCGGCCGUAACUAUAACGGUCCUAAGGUAGCGAAAUUCCUUGUCGGGUAAGUUCCGACCUGCACGAAUGGCGUAAUGAUGGCCAGGCUGUCUCCACCCGAGACUCAGUGAAAUUGAACUCGCUGUGAAGAUGCAGUGUACCCGCGGCAAGACGGAAAGACCCCGUGAACCUUUACUAUAGCUUGACACUGAACAUUGAGCCUUGAUGUGUAG